rnacentral:rRNA from 1 species
AACGGACGCUGGCGGCAGGCCUAACACAUGCAAGUCGAACGAGAAGCCACCUUCGGGUGGUGGACAGUGGCAGACGGGUGAGUAACGCGUGGGAACGUGCCUUUCGGUUCGGAAUAACCCAGGGAAACUUGGGCUAAUACCGGAUACGCCCUUCGGGGGAAAGAUUCAUUGCCGAAAGAUCGGCCCGCGUCGGAUUAGCUAGUUGGUGGGGUAAUGGCUCACCAAGGCGACGAUCCGUAGCUGGUCUGAGAGGAUGACCAGCCACACUGGGACUGAGACACGGCCCAGACUCCUACGGGAGGCAGCAGUGGGGAAUAUUGGACAAUGGGCGAAAGCCUGAUCCAGCCAUGCCGCGUGGGUGAAGAAGGCCUUAGGGUUGUAAACCCCUUUCAGCGGGGAAGAUAAUGACGGUACCCGCAGAAGAAGUCCCGGCUAACUCCGUGCCAGCCGCCGCAGUAAAAC